GUUGAACGCUGGCGGCAGGCCUAACACAUGCAAGUCGAGCGGAUGAAGGGAGCUUGCCCCUGGAUUCAGCGGCGGACGGGUGAGUAAUGCCUAGGAAUCUGCCUGGUAGUGGGGGAUAACGUCCGGAAACGGGCGCUAAUACCGCAUACGUCCUGAGGGAGAAAGUGGGGGAUCUUCGGACCUCACGCUAUCAGAUGAGCCUAGGUCGGAUUAGCUAGUUGGUGGGGUAAAGGCCUACCCAGGCGACGAUCCGUAACUGGUCUGGGAGGAUGAUCAGUCAUGCUGGAACUGAGACACGCUCCGGGCUCCUACGGGAGGCAGCAGUCGGGAAUGUUGGACCAGGGGCGAAUACCUGAUCCAGCCCGGCCGCGUGUUGGAAGAAGGUCGUCUGAUGGUAGAGCACUUUAAGGUGGUAGGAAGGUCAGUAUGUUAAUACCGUGCUGUUUUGACGGUACCAACAGAAUAAGCACCGGCUAACUUCGUG
rnacentral:rRNA from 1 species